rnacentral:rRNA from 1 species
AUUGAACGCUGGCGGCAGGCCUAACACAUGCAAGUCGAGCGGUAGCACAGAGAGCUUGCUCUCGGGUGACGAGCGGCGGACGGGUGAGUAAUGUCUGGGAAACUGCCUGAUGGAGGGGGAUAACUACUGGAAACGGUAGCUAAUACCGCAUAACGUCGCAAGACCAAAGUGGGGGACCUUCGGGCCUCAUGCCAUCAGAUGUGCCCAGAUGGGAUUAGCUGGUAGGUGGGGUAACGGCUCACCUAGGCGACGAUCCCUAGCUGGUCUGAGAGGAUGACCAGCCACACUGGAACUGAGACACGGUCCAGACUCCUACGGGAGGCAGCAGUGGGGAAUAUUGCACAAUGGGCGCAAGCCUGAUGCAGCCAUGCCGCGUGUGUGAAGAAGGCCUUCGGGUUGUAAAGCACUUUCAGCGGGGAGGAAGGCGGUGAGGUUAAUAACCUCAUCGAUUGACGUUACCCGCAGAAGAAGCACCGGCUAACUCCGUGCCAGCAGCCGCGGUAAUACGGAGGGUGCAAGCGUUAAUCGGAAUUACUGGGCGUAAAGCGCACGCAGGCGGUCUGUCAAGUCGGAUGUGAAAUCCCCGGGCUCAACCUGGGAACUGCAUUCGAAACUGGCAGGCUAGAGUCUUGUAGAGGGGGGUAGAAUUCCAGGUGUAGCGGUGAAAUGCGUAGAGAUCUGGAGGAAUACCGGUGGCGAAGGCGGCCCCCUGGACAAAGACUGACGCUCAGGUGCGAAAGCGUGGGGAGCAAACAGGAUUAGAUACCCUGGUAGUCCACGCUGUAAACGAUGUCGAUUUGGAGGUUGUGCCCUUGAGGCGUGGCUUCCGGAGCUAACGCGUUAAAUCGACCGCCUGGGGAGUACGGCCGCAAGGUUAAAACUCAAAUGAAUUGACGGGGGCCCGCACAAGCGGUGGAGCAUGUGGUUUAAUUCGAUGCAACGCGAAGAACCUUACCUGGUCUUGACAUCCACAGAACUUUCCAGAGAUGGAUUGGUGCCUUCGGGAACUGUGAGACAGGUGCUGCAUGGCUGUCGUCAGCUCGUGUUGUG